GUGCCAGCCGCCGCGGUAAUACGUAGGUUGCGAGCGUUAUUCGGAUUUACUGGGCGUAAAGAGCACCGAGGUGGCUUCUUAAGUUGGAUGUAAAAUCUCCUGGCUUAACUGGGAGGCGCCAUUCAAAACUGAGGAGCUUGAGGUCAGCAGGGGAAGGUGGAAUUCCCGGUGUAGUGGUGGAAUGCGUAGAGAUCGGGAGGAACACCAGUGGCGAAAGCGACCUUCUGGGCUGCACCUGACACUCUAGUGCGAAAGCGUGGGGAGCAAACAGGAUUAGAUACCCCUGUAGUCC
rnacentral:rRNA from 1 species